rnacentral:rRNA from 1 species
AGCAGUCGCCACGGUAAUACGAAGGGUGCAAGCGUUACUCGGAAUUACUGGGCGUAAAGCGUGCGUAGGUGGUGGUUUAAGUCCGUUGUGAAAGCCCUGGGCUCAACCUGGGAAUUGCAGUGGAUACUGGGUCACUAGAGUGUGGUAGAGGAUAGUGGAAUUUCCGGUGUAGCAGUGAAAUGCGUAGAGAUCGGAAGGAACAUCUGUGGCGAAGGCGACUAUCUGGGCCAACACUGACACUGAGGCACGAAAGCGUGGGGAGCAAACAGGAUUAGAUACCCGAGUAGUCCCUGUCUCUUAUAC